rnacentral:rRNA from 1 species
AGACGUCUACAUUAGAUACCCCCGUAGUCCUAGCCGUAAACGAUACUCGCUAGGUGUCGGCCACGGUGCGACCGUUGUCGGUGCCGUAGGGAAGCCGUGAAGCGAGCCACCUGGGAAGUACGGCCGCAAGGCUGAAACUUAAAGGAAUUGGCGGGGGAGCACAACAACGGGUGGAGCUUGCGGUUUAAUUGGAUUCAACGCCGGAAAUCUUACCGGGACCGACAGCAACAUGAAGGCCAGGCUGAAGACUUUGCCGGAUUAGCUA